CGGUUUGUUCGAGUUCUCUCGUCGGAACUCCAUCAUUAUAUUCAACAAAUCUUCAUGUAUAUAAGACGGUUUGUUCUUUCUAUUUCUGUAACUACUUUGUUCUAAUUUUCAGGUUGCCCUACUUUGUUGUUUGAUUUAAAUUUUAAUCCAUUUCCAAUUUUUGUUCCAUUUCUUACUGCUUUCUUUUGCUCCUAAUAUCAAUUUUUUUAAGUUUUCCUUUGAUCUUUGUUGUUUCUCUUUUAACUGUUUGAGUUUUAGUAUUUUUCUUUGAUUUUUGCUAUGUUUUGUGGAAUUUUUAAUGCUUUGUUUUGUCUUUUUUUUUUUUUUUUUUUUUUGUGUGUUAUUUGUUUGGAUCUUCAAUCCAUUUCAGACGUUUGUUUGUUGCUGGACUUUUUUAAUUUAUUUUUUUAAAAAAAAUAGGAACAACCAUUUGAAUCUGGGCUAUGGUGAAAAAUGCAAUUUGGGUCUAGGAUAGGCCACGAAGAAAUGGGCCUCUAAUGUGGUGGGCUUUAGAUUUUGGAUUGUACAUUAAAUAUGGUAGUUUAGGCCUCCAUAAGUUUCAAAUCCUUACCUCAUGAUUUUGCGUAAUCUCAAAGUAAUUUAGUAAAAUAAUUCAUAAACACUUGUAGAAAUGUUUUAGGUGUGAUUAAUAAACCAUCAUGAUUAUGGGUACGGUUCCCGUAACAUAGUUAUGAUGGUUAAUUCCCAAAUUCGAGGGUGCAUUUCAUGUGACCCGAUCAUAAUAAUUUCGGAUAAUAAAAUUCUUUUAAAAUAACUCGAGGCAUGCCAUACCAAAUAAAAUCCCUAAGCCCAUGACUCUCACUUAAUUAAUUUUAAUCCUUAGAAAUCUAGGCGUGCCAUUUAGUUGAUUUUCCAUGGCCCUCGCAAACUUGAAAGUGCGUAGUUGCUUUAGGCGCACUAUUUUAAAAAAUUACCUUCCAAAAACCCGGGUGUGUAUUUCAUGUGACCCAAAUCCAAAUCUUAACAAUGUUAAAUAAAAUGUAUCUCGAAUUGCGGGUGCAUUUCAUGUGGUGUGGUCCAAAGACGUGUUUUAGAUGAUGUUAAAAUCUUCCUUAAAAUAAUUAAAGCGGUUUAAAGUGAAAAUGAGCAUAGGUUUAAAAGUGUUUUAAAAUCAGAUAGUAGGCCAAUUAUGAUAGUUUAAGCGACCGUGCUUGAACCAUGAAAUCCGGGGGUACCUAACACCUUCCCCCGGGUUAACAUAAUUCCUUAUUCAAAAUUUCUGGUUCCCAGACUUCAAAAGGAAACUCGAAUUUUCCUCGAUUUGAGAUUUAAAAUAAACCGGUGACUUGGGACACCAAUAAAAUAUUCCAAGUGAGGACUCUAAAUAAAAAUAAACAAUCUCAUUUCGAAUAAUAUCACUUAAAUGGAAAAACUCCCUUUAUAUAUCCCUUGGGGUGUAUAAAAAGGAGGUUUGACAGCUCUGGCGACUUUGCUGGGGGGAAAAACCCAGAACUUCUGGUUCAGGGUUCAGAAUUCGAGCUUAGAAUAACUAUUAUACUUGGCUUUAUUUAUUAUCUGAUUUUUGCAUGUUUGAACAUAAUGUGCUAAAUGCCGCUUUUACUGCUUUGAUAUUAUUUGAACUGUAUAUAAACUGUUAUGAAACCCUCUUCUCUCUGUGUCUUCUAAAUCAUCUAAGAAGUGUGCACUUCGUGUGACUUCUUUUCUGUUAGAGUUAUAUUCCAAUUUUAGAACGAGGUUCGGACAAAUUGCAAAGCUGGUGAAGCUUUUGUAUUCCCGGUACGCUGUUCCCCCCUCCUGGCUCGAGUUGUCCGCUCGAGUAAGCCAGGUCUAAAACAAAUACACCCAGGUUUUUAAACCUAUAAUAAUAUAAUCUCAUGCCGAAUCCCUAGUAGGAAUGCUUAUUUGCAUCACGUGCAUUUGACUUUAGGGACUCAACGUAGGGGUUGGGUCCAUCUAGGACAGGUGUACCCAAAUUAAAAGACCAUCUUGAUGCAUCUCACGUGCUACUUGCGUAUCUGUCUGUUUUGGCUUGCAUGUUGACUGGCUUCUAGAAUAGGGAAAAAAGAGAAUAAAAGAAAAAAAGAAAGAAAAUCAAAGGGAAAAACCAAGAUUGAGAGAAAGAUAUUUGAAAUUUCUGAAACUCUUUCGAAAUUCAAAAAUGAAAAAAAAAGCCAAUGUUUUCAAAAGUCACGUUCCCUUGUUCCGUCAAAACUGGUAGAACACGUGGCUAUGAUUCUCACCGGAUGUGAGAUACGUAGACAAACCUCAUCGAUUUCAGUCCCCAAUUUUCAAAAAUCCAAAACUGCUCUUUUACUUCCUUGUUUAGAAAAGUUUUUCUUUGAGAUCCCAAUUUUUUAAAAUACAAAAAAAAUAUUUUUUUAGUUUCUUCUCAAAAUCCAAAAAUCCAAAAAUAUUUUUAGUCUUCUUUCGAAAAUUGAAAAAAAAAUUCAAGGUUCAAAAAUAAUUUCUUUUUCUUUAGAAGUACUACUUUCUUAACUUUAGAAUAAAAACCAAUAAAUAUAAAAAUAUUUUUCUUUAUUCUUUAAAAUUUUUUCUAUCGAAAUUCCAAAAACAAUUAAAGUCAAAAUUCAAAAAAAAAAGGAAAAAAAAUCUUUUUUCUUUAGAAGUUUUUCUUUGCAAAAAUGCUGAAACUUUCUUUUGAAAAAACAAAAGAAAAUUCAAAAUCCAGAAAAAUAUAUAUUUAUUUUUAAUCUUCCUGAACUACGCAAGAUCUGAUUCUUGCGGCGUCAUGCUACAUAGGCAACCCACAUCGGGUUCGAUCGAAUAGUUGAAAAAAGGGGAAAAGAAAAAAAGAAAAAUAAAGUGAAUGAAAUAAACAAAAAAAAAGGAAAAAAAAGAGAGUGUUUAUUGUAACAUGCUUGUUGUUUUGAAAUAAAAGCUAGUCAAAUAUGGUAUGUUUGUUGGUUUGCAAUGGGGAGUCACAAAAAUAAACCAAGAUCUCUCGGAAAUUAUAGCAUCUUCUCAACCAAUGGAACAAGCAGCAUUGUCAUUGACCCAAGGUCAAGAAAGGGCAAGUAGACAAGUUGGUGGUGAAAAAUUAAAAAUGCAGACAAAUGUGAGGUUGACUUUAUCAGAUUUAAGUAAUAAAACAUGGGUUGCUCGGGAUGAUCGUCAAAAUUCGAGUGUUGAAUCCAAAUCAAUAAAAAUGGUCAAAUGUCGUGGUAAUGCUGAUGUGCGAAUAUGUGGCUAAGAUGUCGUUUAGUAACUGGAAAGUCACUCCUCUUUCAGCCAUGGCAGUUUAUUUUUGUCUUCUUUUCUUCUUCUUUCUGUGUUAUCGGACCUUUCAUCCUUCAUUCAAUAAAAAACAACUAGUUAUUUUGUGUCCACUUUGUGCAUAAUUCUCUUCACGCUAGUUUUAGUGAUACGACAUGCAUGUGAAAUUUUUGGCCACAUUUAGAAAACUGAUUUAGUCUUGAAUUGGAUAACUAAGAAAGACACACUUUUGAAAAAGAAUAGACAAGUGAAACAUUUGAAAAAUAAGCAUGAGUUGAGUUUACAUGGAACCAAAACAGUCACACUCAUGAAAGUUAAGGAUCUCUAACUUUUGAAUGAUUUGAGAAGAUCGGGCUUAAGGAUAAUCGGACGGGUUAAUGUCUGUUUAGUACUAAGAGAUAGAAAGUGUUUUUCAAUAGAAGGUGUAUUCCAGACAACUUGAAGUGGUUCAGUUAGUGGCAAAAAACAUCUUCUAGACAAAAUCCAAGAAAAGUCACCCAAAUUGAUAAGGGUAAUUCACAAUUAGGAGAGUGUUGCGCAUACAUGUUUACACUGGAAAAGACCCAAGAAGACAUGCAUAUUCAUCAAUGAUGUGAUCGUGAAAGGGUACUAUAAUAGGGUUCUCGAGGCUGGGAGGCCCUUUUUAUGCUAUCUAAACACUUUAUAUCCUUCGCUACCCCUUUUGAGCCUGUAUUAUUUUCUUUGACCACCCUCUUUUGGAAUCAAGUUUAGAGUCAGGAGUAAAAAAAUACAACAAAAAAUAAAAAAAAGAAAAAGGAAAAAGAAAAAGAAAAAAGUCCAUGUCCCAAGAGUACAAACUGGGGCAAUUCAUAGAAAGUUCAAGUGAAAAAAAGAAGAAGAAGAAAAGAACUAUCGAAGAUCCAUGCCCUCCUAAGAUAGAAGUUGGGGCAAACAAAAAGAAAUAAAAGAAAAAAAAGGGAAAAAAAUCGAGGAAUAGAAAGGAAAAAUUAUAGUUAGGAUAGAUAUUUGAACUACGUUCGACUUGAUUUCUUAAAGAAUAAGGAUACGGAGGCAGCCUCACGACUUGGUCCAACCAAAUAAGAAUACAAAGAAAAAGAAAAAAAAUUCCAAAAAUCCCCAAUAGCUGAAACUGGGGCAAAGAUUUUGUCACUUUUGAAAGAAUCGAUUCCAAGAGUUGUAAGUCUACAACCCCUUUUAUUUUGAGUCUGCAUUGAGCCUUCAUGUCGGCCCUUCUGUCCAACCCUAUCCAAAACCUUCUAAAUAAAGACCUACUGAUAUUCCUUCAAGAAUGCCAAGAGAAGUAUGCAAUGAGCAAUGGUUGUCACGCUACAUAGAACACUAUCAAGAUGCUCGCAAAAGAAAAACGAAAGAAAAAAAUUGAAAAAAAGAGAGAGUCUUACUAGUGAAAACCCUUACGGGCACUGUAAGGCGACAGUAAGUAGAGAUGAAUAAAUGAGAGAGACUUGUCAGUGAAAACUCCUCGGGACACCACUAGUCAAAAGUGAGCAGUGAAGUUAAUGCAUAUGAUUGGCACGAACAAGCCUGACUUCAAAGUCGUAAGAAUGGUAAAAGGGAAGAUUUGGUUAGUUUGAUAGAUCGACUUUUAAGUCCAAAAUGUAUGUCAUGAUCACUAAGGCUAGUUAUUUAAAGAAAAAAAGAAAAAAAAAGAAAAAAAUACUCUUCCUUCUAUCCUUCCGACAGGGGCAUUUUUUGUUAAUACUUGUUUCUUUGCAUCAUUGUGUCCUUCACUCUGAGUCAGUCCUCGUAAAAACAAGCAAGAAAAGACAUCAAAAUCUGCUGCCAGCUUUUCAAUUGCACAAAGUAAAUUUGGCCAGUGCACUCAGUUGUUACUAUCAACAUGCCCUGCGGAUUAUGCAAAGGCGUCCCCUAGAAGACUCUUAUUAGUCCACUUGGCGCAAGCAAAAAUAACUACUCUGACAAACAAAUUGCUCGAAAGCAGGAAGUCAUUGAAGAUAUCAGAAGUGCCACUUGAGCAUAGAUUUCCAGUCGAAAUAUGGCUGAUCGAACUACAAAUACAAAUGGUACUGGGUGUGAAUCAAUUAGGUUCGAUGUAGAGCAAGAGUCUUUUGAGACUGACUCAAGUUGGUGGAGCAGAAGCCAAGCUGCCAAGACUUUAGGCCACAAACCGACCACCAUUUUCAAAACUGACAAAUUUUUCUUUGUGUGACACAGGAAUAAAGCAACGCAAGGAAGGUGGUCCAAAAAAAAGAAAAAAAUAAAAAGAAGAGAAGAAAAAGAAAAGAAGAGAAGAACCGACAAAGGGAAUUUUAUCAAUCUUUGUAUGUAUUUGUCUUGCUACUGUGCAUAAAAUUUUGCAUUGCUCUUCAUAUUUUUUCUCCUAGGAUAAAAGUCCUAGUCUGAUGGAUUUUCUCCUAUUAAAAAUCUUAGUCUGAUGAAUUUUUCUCCUAAGAUAGAAAAACAUAGCCAGGUGAACUUUCUCCUAGGAUCAAAAUCUUAGUCUGAUGAAUCUUUCUCCUAAGAUGGAAAACCUAGUCUGAUGAAAUUUCUCUUAGGAUCAAAUCCUAGUCCGACGAAGUUUUCUCCUAAAGUAGAAGACCUAGUAUAAUGGAAUUUCUCCUAGGAUAGAAAUCUUAGUAUGAUGAAUCUUUCUCCUAAGAUAACAAAAAGAGAACCUAGUCUAAUGAAUUUUCUCUUAAGAUCGAAAUCUUAGUUUGGUGAAUCUUUCUCCUAAGAUAUAAGACCUUGUCUGACAAACUUUCUCCUAGGAUAGAAAUCUUAGUCUGAUUAAUUUUUAUCCUAAGAUAACAAAAAAAAAUGGACCUAGUUUGAUGAACUUUCUCCUAGGAUCAAAAUCUUAGUCUGAUGAAUUUUUCGCCAAAGAUAGAAGACCUAGUAUGAUGAAUUUUUCCUAAGAUCAAAAUCUUAGUUUGAUGAAUCUUCAUCCUAAGAUAAGAAAAGAGGACUUAGUCUGAUGAAUUUUCUCCGAAGAUCGAAAUAUUAGUCUGAUGAAUCUUUCUCAUAAGAUAGAAGACUUGGUUUGAUGAACUUUCUCCUAGGAUAAAAAUCUUAGUUUGAUGAAUCUUCCUCCUAAGAUAACCAAAAUAAGAGACGUAGCCUGAUGAACUUUCUUCCCGGAUAGAUCAUAGUCUGAUGAAUUUUUCUCCUAAGAUAGAAAACCUAGUCUGAUGAACUUUCUCCUAAGAUCAAAAUCUUAGUCUGAUGAAUUUUUCUCCUAAGAUAGAAGACCUAGUCUGAUGAACUUUCUCAUAGGAUCGAAAUCUUAGUGUGAUGAAUUUUUCUCCUAAGAUAGAAGACCUAGUUAUGAGCAUGUGAUUUUUGCCUCGUUAAAAUUACUCCUACAGAAUUCUCAAACUUAGGAAUUUUCCUUUUUAUUAUUUAUUUUUAGGAUUUAGUUGUGCAUAUCAGUGUGUGUUUUCAUUGAUGUAUGCAUGAAAAGUCAUAAAAAUACACAAAAAAUUACAUAAGCAUUUAGGAUUUAAUUUCACAUAUUUUUGUUAAAUUAAUUGAUAGUUAAGGUUUAUUUUGCAAAAUAUAAAAAAAAAAAUCACAAAAAUAAGUAGUUUAUUUGGCAUUUUAUCGAUAAUUUUCAUUUUUUGGCAUUUUUUUUAUUAAUUCUCAUAUUUGUUUAUGUUUAAGGGGUUAUUAGUUUAAUUUAGUCUAAUCAUAAUUUUAAAAUAAAAAAAAACUAAGAAAUUUGUAAAAAAGAAAAUGAAAACACAAAAAAUAGGAUUAAGAUGUUUUAAAAUUAGGAUGGCCACAAUUGGGCCAAGUCUGAGUGACCCAAAACCUUAUACCUGUCCAAAUUACCCAAACCAGCCCAAAUACCCGUCUCUGAUCCAGGUCCAGAGACGCCCCAAAAUGACAUUAUUUUGGGCGAUCAAUCUCAUCUGUUCAUCUACAUCAAUCCAAACCCCUUCCCCAAGUCCAAUAUAUAUGUCCAAACACCUGUGUAUAUUUAGGAGACCAAAAUCAUCAUCCUCGUAUAACAAAAACACCGGUGUAACACCACCCCUCAGUCACCAUAGAUCCACCGUCCACCACCUGAAACCACCGCCGAAAAUCGCCUCACGGCGGUGGCCGGCCACCAAAUGGCCCCAAAUUUACACCAGCGAACCCCCUCAACCUACCCUUUCCCCUCCCACCAUUAGAUCCCCUCAAAUAUUUCCCAGCUUGUCGAAUAUUCAAAAGAAUAGUCGCCGUCUCCGCCGCCUAUGGUGGCACCAACAACAAAAUGGUCCAAAUUAACACCCCUAAACCACCUUAUCCUCCUCUUUCCAACCAUUUAAGUCUUUUCCCUCGAAUCCUCACAAACCUCUUCGAAUAUCAAAUCGAAGUUUUGACCCAAACCCUAAACUCACCGGAAUCCCUCAAAAAUGGUCCCUGGUGACCAUCUCACCUUCCCAUCUACAACGACCAUCGAAUACAACUAAACGUGGCUAAAGUCAGAUCUGAAGCCUAGACCCCAUCCCAAAGUUAAUCAAUCCUAGCCUGAUACCCUCUCCGCCUUUCCAACAAUGAAACAAAGGUCUCAAAAGACCAAAGAUCCUCUCAGAACAUGGCCAAAAAUCAGAUCUGAAGCCCAGACCCUGUCCCAAAGAUAAUCAACCUAGCCUGAUACCCUCCCCUCUUCUCCAACAAUGAAACAAAGGUCUCAAGAGACCAAAAACCCUCUCAGAAAGGGUCGAAGAACCUUGAGAUUUUAAGAGUCCAAUUUUAGGGUUACAACGCUGAAAAAAAAAGCUAAGUUCUCCUUGUUUGAUUGCUUUAUUGCUUUUUAUCUUGUUUGUUUUCUUUUCUAAUUGCUUCCUUGUUUUCAUUUGUUAAAGUAUAUUAAGUCUUCUAUCUGUUCAUCUUCGAGAUAUUCUGAGUAGGUGCUUCCAUCUAGAGUCACAUGCUCGUACUUGUUUUCUUUUCUAAUUGCUUUUUAUCUUCUUGAUUUUUCAUUUGUUUAAGUACCUUAAGUUUUCUAUCUGUUCAUCUUUGAGAUAUUCUAAGUAGGUGCUUCCAUCUAAAGUCACAUGCUCGUCCUUGUUUUCUUUUUUAAUUGUUAUUUUAUCUUCCUGAUUUUUCAUUUGUUUAAGUACAUUUGUUUUCCAUUGGUUCAUCUUUGAAAUAUUCUGAGUAGGUGUUUCCAUCUAGAGUCAUAUGCUCGUCCUUGUUUACUUUUCUAAGUUGCUUUUGAUCUUCUUUAUUCUCAGUUAUUUUAAGUUUUCAUUUGCUCAUCUUUGAAAUAUUCUGAGUAUUUGCUUCCUUGCUUGUCUUUGUAACUUGCUUCUGAAUAGUCCACUUAAUAUUUGAAGUCACCGUUAUUCUUGUCGACUUAUUUGAAUUAUCAUGCUAAGCUCAGAAUUGGUCAUCUUUGGUUUGAAAUUGAUCAGUGUCCUGUAUUUUUGAAUUUUGUGCUCUUCAGCUUCGUAUAUGUUUCUGAGUAAUUUAGUUUCAUAGUGUGAUAUUUGCCUGAAUAUGUGUGUUGCAUUGAAUCGAAUCUUGACCCUUGGUCGUUUUCUUCUGCAUAAUAUAGUAAAAUCUGCAAUUAAACAAUUGGCCAUGUAUAGCUUUUUUAGAAGUUGAUCCUAGCUGCUAAUAAUAACCUUGGUUUAUAGCCUUAAAUAGUUAAUUAGGGCGACUUCCUGACCAAAUAGAUGGGUACCAGGAUUUAAAGCACUUAGGCCAGUGAUUAAGAAAAGAAAACAGGGGUAUUAAGGGUAUUUGAAUAUGGGAAUCUUGUAACAAACUCCUGGAACAUUCUAGCGAAGGGUCAAAGUACAAUUUCUGUUAAUUUUGCCUCAAAACUUGAGGCACAAUUUAGAAAAUCAAGGAUCAUUUAGGCAAAUCUGAAAAAUGGGCAAAGGACUAAAAGGAAAACAAAAAGAUUUUGUUGCCCUAAGGCUUUGAUUAUUAAAGAGACGCCUGAUUAUUUUGAAAAGGGGAUUUUUCUGGAGCUAGAGGACAAUUUUCAGAUAUAGAGAGAUACACUCCAUAUAAUAUUCGACUGAAAAUCAAUUUCAAGUUUUCCUGGCAAAAUCUUCUAUAAUAAUCAAAUUUUACUACUUAGAAGUUGAAGAUGGUUUGAAGUAUAUGCAUUAAGGAUUGAAACUUGUGUGCUUUGGCUUUUCAAAGUGUUUUUCCUGAAUUCCUGAUACAUUCCUAGGUUUAUUGGUUGUUUUGGCUACUGUUGCUUGUUUGCCUUACGUUUGCCUUACUUAUAGGAGCUCUUCUGCUGUAAUUCCAGGUACCAUUCUCACUCAAAAUCUGGAAGUCAUAGCUGUACAUGUUCGAGAUCAUAACUGAUAAUGAAGAUGAUCCUAUGUCAUAUUAUAAACGUUAUUAGUUUCAGUAAUAUUUCUGGUAUUGUAAUAAGCAUAAACGUGUAAUGAUGCUGGACUGUACUUGGACUAUGACUUUAAUUUGUUUAGAUUUCAGUAGUUUUAAAAUAGAUUAGUCCAUAAUUUACCUGAUGUUCAUGAUUUAUUGACUGUACUUGGACUAUGACUUUAAUUUGUUUAGAUUUCAGUAGUUUUAAAAUAGAUUAGUCCAUAAUUUACCUGAUGUUCAUGACUUAGUCUGUAGUAGGGAUUCAAUAUAUGCAUAUGUGCUCUGACCGAUGAGUACAUCACUCUCUUUCUUUAGAUGCUAAAUUCGAACACCUGAGGCUGUAGCUCAUUGAUUUGUUAAUCUGAAAAUCACUACCAG
rnacentral:lncRNA from 1 species